rnacentral:lncRNA from 1 species
AAGUCUCAUAUGCUUUUGCUUCAUUUGUUUCUAAGCAUGUUGUUUUCCUAAAUGUUACUACAAAUGGAGUUUUAAAAAUUUCCCAAUUGUUUGCUGUUAAAAUCAGUUGAUUUCAGAACAUUGCUUGUGUAUCCUGUGACAUUGUCAAAUCUGUUCAUUAGCAAAGAACAACUGAUUGCAGAACAUUGAUUGUGUAUCCUGUGACAUUGUCAAAUAUGCUCAUUAGUUGCACAAGUAGCUCAUAGGCUCCUUAGAAUUCUUACAUGAACUGGGGCUGGGGCUCAGUGGUAGAGUGCUCGCCUAGCAUGCAUGAGGCACUGGGUUCGAUCCUCAGCACCAUCAUCACCCUAAGUAUGUAUGAAGACACAAAGGAUGUGACUCUACUUUGUGUACAACCAGAGAUAUGAAAAAUUGUGCUCUAUAUGUGUACUAUGAAUCGUAAUGCAUUCUGUUGUCAUAUAUAAUAAAUUUAAAAAUUUUUAAAAAUAUAUGAUUGGAAUAUUACAGGGGAAAAAAGAGAAUUCUUACAUGAACACAAACUUUACUCCUUACUUCACCUUAUUGUCCUAUUGCACUGACUAGGACCUCCAUUCCAACACUAAAGGGGACAUCUUUCCCCUGUGUCUAACUUGGAGGGACUACAAUGACUCCUUCAUCAUUGAGUGUUCUACUAACCAGGUUUUUGAAGAUGUCCUUAAUCAGGUCAAAGUAGCUCCCUUCUAUUCCUAGUUUGCUUAGAUGUUCAUUUUUUGUUGUUGUUUAUUUAUCAUGGGC